GCCUAACACUCUCAUCUGUUAGAUGCGACAUCUAACCCCAGCACUCACACUCCACUCCUGUUUCCCGCCAAGAGUUGCAGUGAGGGCCUAGGAAGCAUGGAGGUACUCACUAAAUUGGGGGGACAGAGAGUCUGUUGAUUAUUUUCAUUCAUGAGGUAUUUUUUCAUUGACUACUGAGUCCCUGGCAUAAUUUUGGAGAUCACAGAAGUGAGCCCAAACCCCUCACUUCCCUGAGGGAGACUGCAGUCUCAUUGGCCUGGGAAAUGAGAGCUAAGUGACUCCAUGUGUAAAUCAGUAGCAUACAUUCAUUCAUUCACCCACUUUGUGCCCUGCCGUGUGCAGAGUUAGGGGUUUAAGAAAGAGCUAGACAUAUUCCUGCUUAUUUCUAAACAAGGAGAUUUAGAAAUCAGCAUUGUACGCACAUCUUAAUUUGGACUGACCACACUUCAAAGUGUUCAACAGCCACAUGGGGGUAAAGCUAUGGUAUUAGCUCAGGUUUCAUCUAUGCUUGGAGAGCCUGGAGCCACCCGGAAAGGCUGAGCGGCUGAAUCAAAUGUCCUGGCUGGAGGCCGCUGGUGAGAAGCGCAAAGGAGCCAGCCGCAACCAAGAGCUCUGCAAAAUCAAGGUGGACACCGGGCCUCGCUUCUGCCACUCUGCUACCAGACAGAAAAUUUCAGAAAGAGGUCAGUUUAAAACACACACAUUUUAGCCAGGUUUUAAG